GUGCUCGCUUCAGCAGCACAUAUACUAAAAUUGGCCACAACACAGAGAAGAUUAGCAUGGCCCCUGUGCAAGGAUGACACGUGAAUUUGUGAAGUGUACCAUAUUUUU
rnacentral:snRNA from 1 species